rnacentral:rRNA from 1 species
UACGUAGGGUGCAAGCGUUGUCCGGAAUUAUUGGGCGUAAAGAGCUCGUAGGCGGUCUGUCGCGUCUGCUGUGAAAACUCAGGGCUUAACCCUGAGCUUGCAGUGGGUACGGGCAGACUAGAGUGCGGUAGGGGAGACUGGAAUUCCUGGUGUAGCGGUGAAAUGCGCAGAUAUCGAGGAGGAACACCGGGUGGCGAAGGCGGGUCUCUGGGCCGUA